GAUGCCUCCCCCCACACCAGGAACGAGAUUACUCUUGGAGUUAAUGCCGUCUUGCGCAUCAUUUGCCCAGUAGAAGGUGCUCCAUCUCAUGCUACGGCUUCUUAUAGGAAAAUACUGUAGAUGCAAAGAGUAGUGAAUUGCACAUAUCAGGUGAUAGCUGGAGGCUCUUGUACCUUGUACCAUUGUAAUGUUUACUUAAGAUGUUCUAUAACCUACAUUUGUUCGUAUAUUAAAUUGUUUAUUAGUUUUGUUCACCAAUAAAUAUGUUACAUUGCCUAA